CGGCAUUCAGCUGGUGCCCUUGAAAAUACCUCAAGACAUUGUUACUGCUGACAGCCUGGAGGACCAAACAGUGAGUUGAAGUCACUAGGAUUUUGACAUUUGGAUAAGAAAACAUCAAAUAUCAUUUGCUGAACAAAUGCAUGUAUCGAUCUGUAAGAUCACAACUUGACCAGCUGAUCCACACCUUAGUUUCUGAAGAAAAGACCAUGAUCCCUCACUUUCACCAAACAGCAGGUUAUGAGGGAAGCACAGACCAAAGAUAUGACUGUAAAUCUUGUGCUGACAAUGCAAUCACGGAAAGCUGGGUUAGUCAAGGAGUUCAAUGUGAGAAAAGGAAGGAGGACUAGGUGGUCCACAGACUGUUCCCAGGGAUGCACAGGUAAACAUCAACCACACCCAGAGGGCAACUAACUUUGUGAAAGACACUU